AAGUUGCAAAUUGGAUAUGCUGAGCAAACUCUCUUACCUGCAUUAGGCCAAGCUACAUUAUACACUGAAGAACGUCCCUCCAAUAACUUCCCCACUGCUGCUGGAUUGGCUUCAUCAGCUGCUGGUUUUGCUUGUCUUGGUUGCUAGUCUUUUUCAAUAAUGGAAUGGUAGCAAGAAUGACAAACUUGACCUAUUAUUGAAUCAGACAGAGCCAUAGUAAGCUGCUGGAGUAAAACUUUCCCCUGACAUCUGUAGGAUUAGGACUAUAGGAGUAUUUGUACAGUUUGAUGGAUAACUGUUUGUAGCAACUGAUACACUGGUCUGUUAUAUUUGUCAUUGCUUGUUUAAUAAAUUUCCAUCUUUGCAUGUACUGAUUUUACUCCGACCAAAGACAAAUAGAUGUUGGUCACUAUUUUUUUUUCUAUUAUUCUUUACCAUUUUUUUUUCUAUAUGCUGAACAAAUAGAUGCUUGUUUAAUAUAUUUUGUCUUUUGUUGAUAAGGAUCAGUUGGAGCCUGGUUGUGCUAUUUUGAUGUAUAAUAAGGUUGCGGUUAUCCCAAAUUGUAGCAUUUUGGAUGCAGUUGGCCAGAAAAUGGCCAGCACUCCUAGAGUUAGUGCCACCCUUUUCAAUGCAUUGGCUAAGGCAAAUAUAAAUGUCCGAGCUAUAUAUAGCACAAGGUUGUUCUGAGUAUAAUAUUACUUUUGUUGUUAAGCGAGAGGAUUGUAUAAAAGCUUUACGGGCUGUCCAUUCCAAAUUUUAUCUUUCAAGAACCACCAUAGCAAUGGGCAUUAUUGGACCAGGAUUAAUUGGGAGCACACUACUUGAUCAGCUAAGGGAUCAGUGAAGAAAGUGAGAGGAUUCUCUGCAAUGCUUACACACACUGAAGCUUCUGCUUUGUCCGGUAUUCUUUAAACCUUGAAGCUUUUUCUAACAAUUGCCAAGCUGCAGUGUACACUGAAGAACGUCCCUCCAACAACUUCCCCACUGCAGCUGAAUUGGCUUCAUCAGUUGCUGGUUUUGCUUGUCUUGGUUGGACCAAGGAAGCAGCGCACUACUUCACCUACUGAUAGGAUUAUCAUGGUAUCUGGUGCAAUCAAUGAAAUACUAAGAGCUGUAGAGCUUAUUCUUUCGAAGUUGCUCACUGAGCUUCAUAGCGAGGAUGACAAUGACGUUGAGCCAAAAACAAAAGUGAGACUCAUUGUUCCUAAUGGUUCUUGUGGCGGAAUAAUUGGCAAGGGAGGUGCUACCAUCAGGUACAAACCAUUUUCUUUUGUUAAGUUCUAGGUCCUACUUGUUUGCCACAUGCAUGAAAUUAGUAUGGAUCAAAGUAACUUUUGAUACUUAUGCUUUUUUAUUUGUGUUCUGGAAAUAUGUUUUGACUUGAAGAGGUUGUUUCUUAUAUGAAUGCUGGUUCUUUUCCCUA